UACAGAGGUCUCAAGCGUUGUCCGGAAUUAUUGGGCGUAAAGAGCUUGUAGGCGGUUUGUCGCGUCUGCUGUGAAAUUUCGGGGCUCAACCCCGAACUUGCAGUGGGUACGGGCAGACUAGAGUGUGGUAGGGGAGACUGGAAUUCCUGGUGUAGCGGUGAAAUGCGCAGAUAUCAGGAGGAACACCGGUGGCGAAGGCGGGUCUCUGGGCCGAUACUGACGCUGAGGAGCGAAAGCGUGGGGAGCGAACAGG
rnacentral:rRNA from 1 species